AUAAGAUUGAUGAGACGAUAUCACUCGACAACCUCCAGAAAUUGAAACUAGCAUUUGAGGAUUUUGAAACGGGUGGCUUGAGAUCCAUUGAUGCGAAGAAUUUUGGCCGUAUAGUAAAGAAGUGUUUGGGUUUGCCGAAGACAAGCAAUGCACAGAUUCAAGGGUUAUUUAAGAAGAUUGAUUAUUCAGG